GGCUUCAUAGCUCAGUUGGUAGAGCAUCGCACUAGUAACGCAAAGGUCAAGGGUUCAAAUCAUGUUGAAGCCU